ACGUAUCUCCGACGGGGUUCGGCGCGCCCUGCUCCGGCCCAAACGGCCGUGCAGCGGGUUCCCGUCCCCGUCCACACCUCACAAACCCACUGUGAACCUUCACGGCGGAAGGGAGGAGACUCCCCGAGGCCGCAUACCAAACCCCAGUCGUAAAGAAUGUCGUGCGGACUCUGCGCCGCCUAAAACACAAAA
rnacentral:misc_RNA from 1 species